CCUAGGCAACAGGGACCUCUGCUCCUUCAAGAUAGCAGAGUGGGACAGGAGCAUAUGGAAAGUGUGUGUAGCUGUUGGGGAUUGUUCCUAUGCCAGUUGAAAGGGACCGGUCAUACUAAUACAGAAUAUCUGCAAGAUCAGACCGGAGAGUCAAGGACCACCAAUGAUGAACUACAGAGGUGACAAAUUCCACAGAAGUACACAUUUGAGGAAGACUGGCUAUUUCAGCAUUUCCACUGAGCAAUUCCCAUGGGGGCUUCUGAACAGAAGAAGACAAAUACAAGAGCUGAAUUGUCACCUUUUGUCUAUCCAUUUUCCAUUGCAACAGAUGGAGUCAUACAAUUUCACUGCAGAGAAUAAAAUCAGAAAUGAAAUACCCU